UACGUAGGUGACAAGCGUUGUCCGGAUUUACUGGGCGUAACGAGCGCGCAGGCGGUCGAUCAAGUCGAGUGUGAAAGCCCCCGGCUCAACUGGGGAGGGUCAUUCGAUACUGAUCGACUCGAAGGCAGGAGAGGGUAGUGGAAUUCCCGGUGUAGUGGUGAAAUGCGUAGAUAUCGGGAGGAACACCAGUGGCGAAGGCGACUACCUGGCCUGUUCUUGACGCUGAGGCGCGAAAGCUAGGGGAGCAAACGGG
rnacentral:rRNA from 1 species